AUGAAAGAGAAGGAGAAGAGGUUGUCAUUUGUAGUGGUUUGGUGUAGUUUAGGCUCGCUCCGCCGCCGGAGGAGCUCUCUCCGGAGAUCGCCCAUGCGAGAGAGAAAGAACAUGAGGAGAAAGUCUAAAUUGAGGUGUGAUCCGAAACGUCACAAUUGGUUUAGAAUGCAGCGUUUCAAUUGUUUUCUCAAUAUUCUCUUAAUUUCUUUUUUAUAUUUACUUUCAAUCAAAUGA